CCCAGAUCCGUCAGGUCAAACAUACAGUGAUUUGCUGGACUCGUCGGGUAAUCCUGUGGUUGUGGAAUCCGUCCUCAACGGCCGAGGUACUGUGACUGCGAUGCUUCCCAUUCCUGUAACCGACAUCGAUGAACUUCGACUGGAGAUUUUGUCAAUCGACAGCGACAAGUUUGGAAGUUUGCGUGUUGGUUUUCUGGGUUGCAUGAAAGAAGUCACUACCACUGCUCCUACAGUAACAACAACUCGAGUGGUGACAACAACCACCCAGACCUCAACAUCGACAACGGCAGGUAUGCCUUGAUAUUUGCCUU